rnacentral:lncRNA from 1 species
CCUAAGCAAGAAACACGUUGAAUUGCCAAGUGUACUAUGUCUAGGAAAAAAAAAAAGACAAAACAUCAAAAUCUGUUGUAAGGGGUCACAGUAGAUCAUUUUUCCCUUGGACAGCUAUUCCUCCUUCAAGAACAAUCAUGGUCAGAUGUUUGACUUGCAGGGGAUUUAAAAUUAGUGCUUGGGUAUGAAAGACACAAGUGUGAGGUCUCAACUAUAUUAUUAGCCCAGUGCUGCCUAUUCAGAUUUAUAUUUUGCAUAAAAGACAGAAGGAUUUGAAUGGAAGUGCGUGGUCUUUCUCUCAUGGCAACAGAUAUCAGUAAUAUGUCUGUUUGAGACUUGGAGAAAAGAAGGACCAACUGUUUGUUAGUGGAAGUGAUAUGUCCUGCAAAUAAAAGGCAAAAUGAGAUGAACUGAGCACCUGUGCAAACCGGAGCAGUGAUUGCAACAGCAUGCAGUUAUACGAUGUGUACCUGGCGCUGUACUGCACGGAUGUCAGCCUUAAAAUACCAACACCAAGGUCCUAAUUAAAACAUGCACGUUGUUUGGCAACCAGUAGCAUUUGAAAUCAAGGAUUCACAGGAUCAGGCUUUUCUCUCAGAUCUUGUCUCCUCUGCAUUCCAAGUGAACUGAUUGAUUACUUUUGGAUGAGAUUUGGACAUUGAUUGAAAGAGCAGAAGAAGAAGCAGAAGAAGAGUAGUAUCACCUUCUGAGGAAUGCACUAAAUGUGUACUCCAUGCUUUAACAACAAUGAUGCCAACCUAAAAUUGAUGAGCAGAUCUAUGAAGAAAAGCCUAGAAAAGAAUAGCACAGGGAACGCAGGCCCAUCUGGAAGGCUGUAAUGCCUCGUGUUUUCCAUCCUGGCUGCUGGUGCUGGUGAUACCAUCAGUGUGAAUUUCAGAUCAGCAGAUAUAAUUGAUGAUGGACUGAAAAUCAGCAUCUACAUAUCAAGACCCAGGAGCGAUACAUUAUGCAUCAAGUUCGCACCAAGGGAUGUUGAAAUAAUGCCUGAGACUGUUGGAGAGAAUGGGUGCAG